UGUGCGGUGGAUCCAACCUGCCGUCUUGUUGCGCCUCGUGCGUCAACGCGAGGCUGGUCGAGUACCACACGAGGCUGCGCAUGAUGAGGAGCCUCCGCGACUCCCUCCAUGGCCGAAUCACCGCACGCCUCGAAGCCAAG